rnacentral:lncRNA from 1 species
UUCUGAAUAGUCAAAACUAUAAGUGUCCAUGAGAAAUCGGACUACCAGCAAGAAAAUUACAAACAUCAGAAGAGAUGCAAAAAGAGGUCUUCGUUGCUCCUCUCCAUGGACAUUUUUGGAGGAAGGCAAACCAGCUCUACUUGUCAACUGCAAAGGCCAAAUACGGGAGUAAAGAAGGUUGGACGAGCAAACCAUGCCACAGCUUCAAAUCUUGCAGAGUAUUCUCUCUGACAGCUAAUGCCUCUGAACAGAGCUGUCUGGGAACAUCAAGAGAAGUCUUAAGCCACUGGCUUGUGAACUCUUUUCAUGCCUUUAAUCCUCAAGCCUACAGAGACAGGACAAUACUAAAGGGAGG